UACGGAGGGGGCAAGCGUUGUUCGGAAUUACUGGGCGUAAAGGGCUCGUAGGUGGCCAACUAAGUCAGACGUGAAAUCCCUCGGCUUAACCGGGGAACUGCGUCUGAUACUGGAUGGCUUGAGUUUGGGAGAGGGAUGCGGAAUUCCAGGUGUAGCGGUGAAAUUCGUAGAUAUUGGGAAGAACACCAGUGGCGAAGGCGGACUCACUGGCUCGUAACGUGACGCUCAGGCGCGACAGCGUGGGGAUCAAACAGG
rnacentral:rRNA from 1 species